rnacentral:rRNA from 1 species
GACGAACGCUGGCGGCGUGCCUAAUACAUGCAAGUAGAACGCUGAAGGAGGAGCUUGCUUCUCUGGAUGAGUUGCGAACGGGUGAGUAACGCGUAGGUAACCUGCCUGGUAGCGGGGGAUAACUAUUGGAAACGAUAGCUAAUACCGCAUAAUAUUGACUAUUGCAUGAUAGUCAGUUGAAAGGUGCAACUGCACCACUACCAGAUGGACCUGCGUUGUAUUAGCUAGUUGGUGGGGUAACGGCUCACCAAGGCGACGAUACAUAGCCGACCUGAGAGGGUGAUCGGCUACACUGGGACUGAGACACGGCCCAGACUCCUACGGGAGGCAGCAGUAGGGAAUCUUCGGCAAUAGACGGAAGUCUGACCGAGCAACGCCGCGUGAGUGAAGAAGGUUUUCGGAUCGUAAAGCUCUGUUGUAAGAGAAGAACGAGUGUGAGAGUGGAAAGCUCACACUGUGACGGUAUCUUACCAGAAAGGGACGGCUAACUACGUG